rnacentral:rRNA from 1 species
GCAAGUCGAGCGAUCUUCUUCGGAAGAGAGCGGCGGACGGGUGAGUAACGCGUGGGUAACCUGCCCUGUACACACGGAUAACAUACCGAAAGGUAUGCUAAUACGAGAUAAUAUGCUUUUGUCGCAUGGUAGAAGUAUCAAAGCUCCGGCGGUACAGGAUGGACCCGCGUCUGAUUAGCUAGUUGGUAAGGUAACCGGCUUACCAAGGCGACGAUCAGUAGCCGACCUGAGAGGGUGAUCGGCCACAUUGGAACUGAGACACGGUCCAAGCUCCUACGGGAGGCAGCAGUGGGGAAUAUUGCACAAUGGGCGAAAGCCUGAUGCAGCAACGCCGCGUGAGCGAUGAAGGCCUUCGGGUCGUAAAGCUCUGUCCUCAAGGAAGAUAAUGACGGUACUUGAGGAGGAAGCCCCGGCUAACUACGUG